GGAGAUUAUCACACUUCAGGUUCCAGUGCGUGUGGCAGGCAGUGGGGCUCUCAAUGCACAGGUUGAAUCUCCACGGCGACAUACUUAUUCCAAGUAAAGAACAAAGACAGAACCAACAUGUUUCAAAUAAACCUCCAAGAUCAAAACCCAAGAAUUUCAACAAGUGGCUGGACAACACCAACGAAUCAAGUCCCCGUCAGAGCUUGUCCAUGUACGGGGCUCGUGUUCAGGCGUCAGUCUGGGGAACGCUUCAACUGCACGAUCACUCACUGGGAGUCAAAGUGACUGACAGCAAAAUGAGGUCUGAUCUUUGGAAUGAAAAGAAGUGGAUGUGACUGGCGGUUGAAGAUCUGCUGUCACAUGUACCAGCCUGAGCCCUGCAGCUGAAAACGCCACGGCUGAUUUACAGGCUCAUAUUUCUCUGCAUGCAAACCUGCAGGCAUGUUUGAGCCCAUUUAUAAACUACUAUUGCUGAAAGUCAAAUCUCCAGGUC